GACGUAGGGCGCGAGCGUUGUCCGGAUUUAUUGGGCGUAAAGAGCUCGUAGGCGGCUUGUUGCGUCGACUGUGAAAACCCGCGGCUCAACUGCGUGGCUUGCAGUCGAUACGGGCAGGCUAGAAUUCGGUAGGGGAGACUGGAAUUCCUGGUGUAGCGGUGAAAUGCGCAGAUAUCAGGAGGAACACCGGUGGCGAAGGCGGGUCUCUGGGCCGUAACUGACGCUGAGGAGCGAAAGCGUGGGGAGCGAACAGG
rnacentral:rRNA from 1 species